AAGAUGGCGACCGGCGCACGGGUGAGUAACACGUAUCCAACCUGCCGAUAACUCCGGAAUAGCCUUUCGAAAGAAAGAUUAAUACCGGAUGGCAUACGAAUAUCGCAUGAUAUUUUUUUUAAAGAAUUUCGGUUAUCGAUGGGGAUGCGUUCCAUUAGUUUGUUGGCGGGGUAACGGCCCACCAAGACUACGAUGGAUAGGGGUUCUGAGAGGAAGGUCCCCCACAUUGGAACUGAGACACGGUCCAA
rnacentral:rRNA from 1 species